rnacentral:rRNA from 1 species
CGUGUAGGCGGGAAUACAAGUCAGAUGUGAAAUACUGUGGCUCAACCACAGAACGGCAUCUGAAACUGUAUUUCUUGAGUACUGGAGAGGAAAGCGGAAUUCCUAGUGUAGCGGUGAAAUGCGUAGAUAUUAGGAGGAACACCGGUGGCGAAGGCGGCUUUCUGGACAGUAACUGACGCUGAGACGCGAAAGCGUGGGGAGCGAACAGGAUUAGAUACCCUGGUAGUCC